AAAGUCAUUUUACCAAAUCAGAUAUUCACUUUUUGCAACAUCAGUAAACACCACACACCACACUGCGUCCCUUUCUCAAGUGAAAAGGAAAACCCUAAACCGUUCUCCAUUGCAACUUGAAAGAGGUGGUUUUUGCAUCAAUCUUGGCCAACAAACUAUUGGAGGAGUGCUUCGCAGUGAGCUUUGGGAGAAAGAGGAGGCUCCAUUAGAGUUUAAUCGUGGUGGGACUAGGGUUUGGUCGGUGAAGGCUUUGUGGGUUGUGGACGUUGGCGCUGAGGAAGCACUCCUUGGUCCUUGGUCCGUUCAACAAGGUGGAGAUUUGGUACAGCUCUCGAGUUGGACGAAUAAGCCAUCUGGUUGAUGUUAGUUUUAUUAAGGACGAAAAAAGUUUUUUUGCAAUGGAAUUGGAAUAUGCUGAUAUUUGAUGUUAGUAGCCAGUGCACUUGAUUAUUACGUCAUAUAUUCACACUCUCUACCUUGAAAGUGCACACUAAAUAGGAAAGUUGAAGAUCCAAUUACUUGCUUAUUGUGAAAAUUGGGCCAGUGUAAGAAAUCCAAAACAAAAAGCCCAUAUCAUUAAAUACUGAAACUGAAACCAUUCUCUGCGCAAAUUGAGAGUGAAGCAACGACAA